GUACGCUAUUCAGAGUUUGAUCCUGGCUCAGGAUGAACGCUAGCUACAGGCUUAACACAUGCAAGUCGAGGGGCAGCAUGAACAUAGCUUGCUAUGUUUGAUGGCGACCGGCGCACGGGUACGUAACACGUAUCCAAUCUGCCCGUUACUCGGGGAUAGCCUUCUGAAAGGAAGAUUAAUACCCGAUGGCAUGUAUUUCCGGCAUCGGAGAUACAUUAAAGAUUAAUCGGUAACGGAUGAGGAUGCGUACGAUUAGCUAGUUGGCGGGGUAACGGCCCACCAAGGCAACGAUCGUUAGGGGUUCUGAGAGGAAGGUCCCCCACACUGGAACUGAGACACGGUCCAG
rnacentral:rRNA from 1 species